UACGAAGGGUGCAAGCGUUACUCGGAAUCACUGGGCGUAAAGCGUGCGUAGGCGGUUGAUUAAGUCUGCUGUGAAAGCCCUGGGCUCAACCUGGGAACUGCAGUGGAUACUGGUCAGCUAGAGUGUGAUAGAGGAUGGUGGAAUUCCCGGUGUAGCGGUGAAAUGCGUAGAGAUCGGGAGGAACACCAGUGGCGAAGGCGGCUCACUGGACCGGUUCUGACGCUGAGGCGCGAAAGCGUGGGGAGCAAACGGG
rnacentral:rRNA from 1 species